rnacentral:lncRNA from 1 species
CUUUAAGAUCGGAAAGAGUCCAACCCAUAGCUUCUUGAUUGGUCUUUAGCACAAAUAUGAGACGGGCUUCUUCUUCAAUUGUCAAAAGGUUGCUUAUGAUAACCGGCUUGCCCUCGGUAUCAUCAAGGAAUACAUAUUUCAAAGUCGAAGGUAACUCUUUUAAUUCAAUUGACGCUUUCUCGUCAAUUACCUCCUUCUUCAAAUUUUCUUCC